rnacentral:rRNA from 1 species
AUACGUAGGGGGCAAGCGUUAUCCGGAUUUACUGGGUGUAAAGGGAGCGUAGACGGAAGGCCAAGUCUGAUGUGAAAGCCCGCGGCUCAACUGCGGGACUGCAUUGGAAACUGGUCAUCUGGAGUGCAGGAGGGGUAAGCGGAAUUCCUAGUGUAGCGGUGAAAUGCGUAGAUAUUAGGAGGAACACCAGAGGCGAAGGCGGCUUCCUGGACUGUAACUGACGUUGAGGCUCGAAGGCGUGGGGAGCAAACAGGAUUAGAUACCCUGGUAGUCCACGCGGUAAACGAUGAUCACUAGGUGUUGGCACGCAUAGCGUGUCGGUGCCGCAGCAAACGCAACAAGUGAUCCACCUGGGGAGUACGGUCGCAAGAAUGAAACUCAAAUGAAUUGACGGGG